ensembl:lincRNA
CUUUAAUAAUAAUAAUAGAGAAUUCCGAGUCCGCUGGGUGGGAGGGGGGAGUUGGCCUAAUGCCCCUGUGGGCUCGGCCUGCCGCCGCCGCGGAGGCCUCUGACACUGCGCACCAGGCCAGGUUCUUGAGAGCAGAGAGCGCGGGCGGGGAGCACCGGCCAGGGCGGCCCUAGAGCGCCUGGCUGCCAGCCUUCAGGGUGCUCCCUUGGAGGCCUGCCCUUGCUACCCCUAAGCACUGGGGUGCGGGCUGGGGGCGGUGGAGCCAGGAAAGGUAGUGCGGAGAGCCGAGCGCAGGACCGCACCGGAGCCACCUCUCAACGCGGCGCGCACAGACCCAGGAUUUGUGAAGAGGUGACCCAAAUUUAAAGACAAUGUUGGAUGCAAACCGAUUUGCCAGCAAUUGCGUCACCAUCAAAACCAGCUCUGUCCGUGUCUUCGGAAGACACCAAGUGAAAUAUGUGUGGAUGGGAUUGACGUCCGAAAAACCAAGGCAAGAGUCCAUGGGAAGGGACGGAGGUGGAACAGGACUGGACCGGAAUAGCAGUGGGCUGCAGGAGUCAAGACCUCUGCAGCAGGUUGUGGAGUUUCACAGAACCCGCAAGGAGAGGAAUCCAUGCCUGCACCUGUCACGGGAAUCCUUCAGAAGGGAAGGCUGAGAGGAGCCAGGUGAGGCUGGGUGGGUGUGG